GGGUCGGUGGCGUAGCUGGUUAUCGCAUCUGUCUAACAGCCCCCCUGCGUGCACAGAAGGUCCUCAGUUCGAUCCUGGGCCGACUCA